UGCCAGCCGCCGCGGUAAGACGUAGGGUGCGAGCGUUGUCCGGAUUUAUUGGGCGUAAAGAGCUCGUAGGCGGCUCGUCGCGUCGACCGUGAAAACCUGGGGCUUAACCCCAGGCUUGCGGUUGAUACGGGCGGGCUAGAGUUCGGUAGGGGAGACUGGAAUUCCUGGUGUAGCGGUGAAAUGCGCAGAUAUCAGGAGGAACACCGGUGGCGAAGGCGGGUCUCUGGGCCGAUACUGACGCUGAGGAGCGAAAGCGUGGGGAGCGAACAGGAUUAGAUA
rnacentral:rRNA from 1 species